rnacentral:rRNA from 1 species
GAUGAACGCUGGCGGCGUGCCUAAUACAUGCAAGUCGAGCGAACGGACGAGAAGCUUGCUUCUCUGAUGUUAGCGGCGGACGGGUGAGUAACACGUGGAUAACCUACCUAUAAGACUGGGAUAACUUCGGGAAACCGGAGCUAAUACCGGAUAAUAUUUUGAACCGCAUGGUUCAAAAGUGAAAGACGGUCUUGCUGUCACUUAUAGAUGGAUCCGCGCUGCAUUAGCUAGUUGGUAAGGUAACGGCUUACCAAGGCAACGAUGCAUAGCCGACCUGAGAGGGUGAUCGGCCACACUGGAACUGAGACACGGUCCAGACUCCUACGGGAGGCAGCAGUAGGGAAUCUUCCGCAAUGGGCGAAAGCCUGACGGAGCAACGCCGCGUGAGUGAUGAAGGUCUUCGGAUCGUAAAACUCUGUUAUUAGGGAAGAACAUAUGUGUAGGUAACUGUGCACAUCUUGACGGUACCUAAUCAGAAAGCCACGGCUAACUACGUGCCAGCAGCCGCGGUAAUACGUAGGUGGCAAGCGUUAUCCGGAAUUAUUGGGCGUAAAGCGCGCGUAGGCGGUUUUUUAAGUCUGAUGUGAAAGCCCACGGCUCAACCGUGGAGGGUCAUUGGAAACUGGAAAACUUGAGUGCAGAAGAGGAAAGUGGAAUUCCAUGUGUAGCGGUGAAAUGCGCAGAGAUAUGGAGGAACACCAGUGGCGAAGGCGACUUUCUGGUCUGUAACUGACGCUGAUGUGCGAAAGCGUGGGGAUCAAACAGGAUUAGAUACCCUGGUAGUCCACGCCGUAAACGAUGAGUGCUAAGUGUUAGGGGGUUUCCGCCCCUUAGUGCUGCAGCUAACGCAUUAAGCACUCCGCCUGGGGAGUACGACCGCAAGGUUGAAACUCAAAGGAAUUGACGGGGACCCGCACAAGCGGUGGAGCAUGUGGUUUAAUUCGAAGCAACGCGAAGAACCUUACCAAAUCUUGACAUCCUUUGACAACUCUAGAGAUAGAGCUUUCCCCUUCGGGGGACAAAGUGACAGGUGGUGCAUGGUUGUCGUCAGCUCGUGUCGUGAGAUGUUGGGUUAAGUCCCGCAACGAGCGCAACCCUUAAGCUUAGUUGCCAUCAUUAAGUUGGGCACUCUAAGUUGACUGCCGGUGACAAACCGGAGGAAGGUGGGGAUGACGUCAAAUCAUCAUGCCCCUUAUGAUUUGGGCUACACACGUGCUACAAUGGACAAUACAAAGGGCAGCGAAACCGUGAGGUCAAGCAAAUCCCAUAAAGUUGUUCUCAGUUCGGAUUGUAGUCUGCAACUCGACUACAUGAAGCUGGAAUCGCUAGUAAUCGUAGAUCAGCAUGCUACGGUGAAUACGUUCCCGGGUCU